UGGGGGUUUGGGGGUCACCACAACAUGAGGAACUGUAUUAAAAGGUCGCGGCAUUAGGAAGGUUGAGAAUCACUGCUCUAUAGUAAGUCACAGGACCUAUAAUAACUGUGGUCCCAGUUCAGCAUUUUGAAUUUUGCAUGGGAAUGAGAAGUGAAGUUAUAUGAAGGUUUAAAUCUUUAUUCCUGAAAAAAAAUUCUGGCUUGCAAAGUAUCUUAACCAAAGCUUCCAAGCAGCUUUCAAGAGUGAUUUCUGUUAGAUUAUUUAUUUAACACACCUAACCAUGGUUUAUUUUUCUGGGUUCAUGUGAUACACUGACAAACUGACUUAUAUUGGCUGUAUUCUCGUGAUACAUUAAAUACAUAUUUAGGCUAAUGUGUAAUGUGAACCCAAUGGCUGAACUGUAUUCUCAUGAAUGGAUUUGUAUAUAAUGUGCUAGGCUAAAAUGCAGCUGGUUUCACUAUGGAGUAUUUUAUCCUCCUAAGCUAAGAGACAGUAUGAAAAUAAACACUGUGACCAGAUCUUCAGCAACUACAGGGAGAUAUCAAUAUUUUCCCUUAAAUGGAUGGCAGAGGCAAUCCAUGAAAUACUACUGGUUCUUCUACACAUCUUAAAAGCAAGUACUAGCAUUUCAAAUUAAAAAAAUCAUGAAACCAUUUUUUUUAAAAAAAAUAGUUUAAUAAAAACAAAAUAUGAAUAUUGACAAGGGUCACCGAAUCCAUAUUUAGCAUUUUUCCAAGCUGGUGCCCUCUAGCUAUGUUAAAACUACAACUCCUCAACCAGCAAAUUAUAGAAGUGAUUGUUCUGCACAUCUGGAAGGUGGGAUUGGGAGGGGCUGACUUGGAGAUAAGUUCAGAUCCUAAAAGGUCUUGCAUGUGACUUACUUGCAUUACAUUAGUAUUUUUAUAAAAAAAAUUGCACCCAUUUUUUUUCUCAAACUGACAUUGCUCAUUAUUUUAAAAAGCAAACAUAAUAUAAGAGAGUAAAAAGGAAUGCAGACAACAACUAUAUUCGGUUAUAGAAAAAAAUCCAUACUGUAACAAAAGUAUAAUAAUUGGUUGAAAUAAGAUGCUCAUCAAGUUUUCACAACUUUUUCAAAUAUUAAAGAUAGUCUUCACUACCCAAAUCUUUAUCAAAAUAAGCUGUAUUGUAUUGUAUGAUACUGUGUUCAAUUUUUUUCCCAUCACUUAUUUCUCACGAAGCAAUCCGUUCCUAAACUAAAAGAUCAGAAAUUAAUCUUUGCCAAUUUUCAUACAUUAAUCUACUACUUCUAUUUUACAUUUCUUUGAUAAGCCAAAUCCAUUAAUACAUUUUGCCUAAGUUAGAGACUAACAGCCGGUUGCGAAAAGAUAUGUGCAUUAGAACAACAGUCAAGUUGGACAAUUGCAUGCAUACGGGUAAAAACAUGGAACAUCACACGAAGAGAACAUCAUAAAUCAGUCAAAAAGCUUUCUUUUCUGGAUUGUGCGGGUGAUGCAUGCUAUGCUCAACACCUGACUACAAUUUUUACUCCACAUUUUGCCAGCCUUCAUUAUCUCAACCUUAUCUACUUCUGCUACGCAGUGAGAUCAAAAGCUGCCAUCGUCUGAAUGUAAAUAAGAUGAUACAGGCUCAACAGGGCGCUGAGCAGACGUUCUUGCCGAUCUUCGUGUUCCAAUCGGAGAAUCCUUAUUGACGUUUACCCACCUUUUCCCCGAAAGUGUUUCCUAAUGCUACCAACAGUAGUAGCGGCGAGGGCUGCGGUUGCCUCUCUCGCCGACCCUUUCCAGCUGUUCAACCGUAUUAGACCCACCGCGCGUCUGCCAGAAUCCCGACUGGGUUGAAGAAACCGGGAUGAGAAUGAGAAAGAAGGAGGGAGUCGAGGAAAGAUUCAAUUCUCCUCCUAAUUGGCUCACGCUGACGGGACACUCCGGACUGCCGUCAGUUCAUUGGCUCAAGUCUCUGCCGUCCCCUGCAGCUAAUUGGAGGAGCUUGAGCGUGGAGAAGAUGGAAUCCCGGAGGAGGGGUUUCAAAGCAGAAGCAGCCCUGGGGUGGAGAAUUCAUUCCCAGCUUUCCACCUGCAAGCGGGGCGCUCAGCCGCGGUCGCGCGCACGCUCUCUGGCGCUGGCAGGGCAGGGAAGGCCGGGAGGGCAGCGACGGGGUGGUGGUGGGGAAAGUCUUUACUUUUCUUUCUUUCGGCCGCGCUGGGCUGUCCCUAAAGGGGGGGGGGAAAUAGUGCGGCUGAAUCGGAAGGAACCGCAGCUGUCAAGGGAAAGCAAUGGGGGCGGAGUAGGGAGAAGCUGGAGAAACAAAGAACAAGGCAAGACACCGCAAGCAAAGAGAAGAGGUGGAGUCUGAAGGGACGCUCCCCCCACGCCCCCUUGGGGAGCCAGGAAGGAAGGAUACAGGACAGUUGAGGGGCGGGCGGGCGGACAAUGCCAAGCCGGCCGCGCUCCUGAAGGAGGGAAAGCGGCGAGCGGGAGGAUGGCGGACGGAGUUUCCUUGGGCCACUUAGUUGUGCUCUUGGAGCCAAACUCCACGUGACGCAAAGCGCGUCACGUCACCGUGAAGUUGAGCGGCUGCUUCUCCUUGGCCGGAGGAGGGGCGUCAUGGGAUAGCCUCGCUCCUUUUCCCACUUGGCGCUGGGGUCUCCGCUGAGACGGAGCCGAAAGGCGGCGGCGGCAGCGCCACUCUUCUCGGGCGGAGGCUGUGGGUGGAAAUUACGUGCGAGCGGGCGGAGACGGGAGAGAACUUGGCGGACCGCCUGACUAGGUGGGCUCUGGCUGUUGCGCUGCUCAAGUUCGGGGAGGCGCCGGGAGAAGGGCUCCCGCCAAGAACUUCGCCACAGGUGGAAAGCUGUUGCCGCGGCCACCGCCGUCCGCUUUCCACGUUUGCUGCUUCCUCGGCAGUGCUUCAGAGGCAGGAGAGUCGUCGCUCCGGGGACUUGGGCUUUUCUCCUUGCCGUUGCCCUGUAAUCUGCGGGGCAAAAAAAAAAAAAAAAAAAAAAAAAUCGGACGGAAAAAAGGAUCUGCCUCGCUUUGCAGCACACACUUUUGUUAAUCCACGUCCCGCCACCGGAGUAGCAACGUGGUGGAGCCGCUGAAAAUUUUUACAAAGCUCGGGUGGGACGGCGAGGUGUGGCGGGAAUUAGUCCUCGGCUUCCUUCCCCCUAUAAAAGCAUAAUAACAUGGGUUUGGCUUGGAGUAGGCUCCUCUUUCCUUCCUUCCUUCCUUCCUUCCUUCCUUCCUUCCUUCCUUGAAUCGCUUUGCCUUGUGUUAAAAAGAGCUUGUCGAGGGCACGGAAGAGUGGCUGGGUGGGAUAUCUGGAGAGAGAGAGACAGAUAUUGGAAUAACAAUAACAGCAACAACAGUAAUAAUGAAAAGGGACGCCUGGUUCCAGAGUGACGACAAAUCCAAGCGGAAAAAGUCGAGCCGGCUGGUUUGAUUUUGUUUAGUUUUGUUGCAGGGGCAAAUUUACAGCCCUUUACAAGCUCUGGCGUUGGUGACAUAAUGGAGCCAGUUCUGCAGGUGCAGCAACAGGAGGUUGGCUGAUAAGAACAGUGAUCCUAAAAAUGUAUGAAGUGUCUUAGGUGUUCAAAUGAGAAGAUUGGAUUUUUAAUAGCAUUGCGCCUGAGAUCCAGAUGGCCCCAAUCCUACCUGUAAGCCUUUGAAGACCUGGUUUCCACAGACACUGGAUCGGUGGCCUUCUGAAGCCCCCAUAGAUUGUUUACCUUUCGUUGCUGAAUUGCUUAAUGGCAUAAUUUGCUGUUUGCCUCACUAUAUUUUGAUAGUUUUUUAAAUAGUCUUAAAAGUUGUUUUAAUAGUGUGCUGCCUUAUGUACUAGCAGAUGGCUUGUUGCAGAUCUGGGACUGGAGAGUUCAGCCCUGCUGGACAUCUCUGCAGUGAUGACAGUGCAAGAUGAUGCUUUGCAGUGGUUCUUCUUCUAUGUGGGAAUUACUCUAGUAGAUGAAAAUUUGGUAAUUCAGAUUAAGGAACAGAAACAUGCCCAUAUUAAAAGAAUUUAUAAUGAGUUAAUAAAAUUGGAUUCGGAAACAGAGUUAGUAAAAGAUUGUAUGAUUAAA